ACAAAUGCAAGACAAUGCACGGAUCUACACAACAUAAUAACGAGGAAAAUGCACAAGAGUUGGCAAGAACAAGGCAAAAAUAUAGAACCUUGUUUAUUGUCAAAUGCGGGCUUGGCAUUCUGCUACUGGUGCUGGGCGGAGUAGCCCAUGAAAAUAGAAAGGGUCAGUGGAACACCUUCGGUCCUCCCUAUUUCUUAGGAGCCUUUAUUGUAGGGUUUGCGUUUGAAGCCAAGCCGUCUGAUGGAACAGCUGGAAGGUUACUUGAAGGCCCAGUGUGACUUACCUGUUUUGAUACUAGUCUUCUGGUCAGUUUCUUUGGGGCCUUAAUAUUGUUUAUCUUGUUGCCCUGCACUGAGGAUAAGAGUAAUGUUUGAGAUGCAACUCCUUCAACAGGAAAACUGAAGAAUUGCAGAAUAGAUAUCAGAGUCAACGAGAACAGAUAAAGAUGCCACCUUCUGAAGACAGACGUACAGACCGCUCCUUCAGCGCCACCUAUGUGACACUGUAUUCAGCGCCACCUGUGUGACAUGGCCUUCGGCGCCACCUAUGUGACAUUGCCUUCAGCGCCACCUAUGUGACAUUGCCUUCAGCACCACCUAUGUGACACACCACGCCACCUACGGGAAGCUAAUUAUAAAUGCUAAGUUUACUAGAUUCGAGACUUGAUUUGCUUAAGAAAAAUAUACCAAAACAAAAACACGACUAAAUGUUGGAUUGUGUAAGGGAAAUGUCAGUGAAAAGUAGCACAAAAUAAACCUGAAACGAACGAUUCUGACACACAUAUUAUCAAACGUUGCAUUUCAUAGUUGUGCUUUAUUUAGACAUAAUAUUUCUUAUAAGACAUAAAUCUUUGUAUUGUGAUAUUUGCAAUUUAAGCAUUAGGCUGUUUGUUGCUUUUGACUCUCCGAAGUUACAUAACUAUUACAUAGAUUUUAAUGAAAGGAACAAACUCUUCGCAGAGGUAGGUCAGCAAAUUUCAAGAAUUUCAUUAUACGAGAGGACGAGUGGUUUUAGUGGUGAGCUUUUAUGACGCUGUUUGUUUUUCUCGGAAUAAAAGGAAAAAGAACCAUUGCUUUGUGUGUACUGGGAAAUUUUAAACUCAAAAAAGGAUCUUCAUUGAAUUUGAAGGCAUGCGUGCUUGAUUUCUAGCGAAGAAAAUUCCAGUUGCUAAUUCUUCAUUCGUGUGUGUUCCCUGUUGUGUCGUGUUGCUAAUGUGCUUAGAGGAAGGAGCAAGUCUUCCUUUAGCGAUGCUUGCCUUUCUCGAUUUAAAUAUUUUCAACAUCAUAAACGACUUCAUAAGCCUCAGAACGACAGACAUUAUCUUGAAUAGAAAGGUCUUCUACAUAUGAUUUUAAUGUAGGUUGACGUCUUAUAUGGACGUAAAAUGAUAAGCGUCAGAGAUAUAAAAUUUUGAAAUAAUGAAAUUCACACGUCAACGAUACGUAGUAGAAAUCUCUCAAUCAUAUACGAUUUGUAUAUCCAGCUAUCUAACUCCAUCUAGGAUGGAGCUAUAUUGUUAAAAACAAGAUUUUACAGAUGUGUAUACCAAAGUUGGCAAUAUUCAAUGGAGAAAUGUGGUGUCGUCUGCUGAAUAGAAGAUUUCUUUAAGCUAAUGUCGAUGUUGAAUAAGACGCACUGGGAUUUGAUAUCUAGUCAUAGCUAGAUAUAUAAGCAAACCACUCAUUUUUGUAGCAAGCUACAUAAAAUGUAAAUAUAAAACUGAAUGCUACUUUUGUGCGUUUAUACGGGUAUAAACCUCAUUGGGACUUCUUGCAUAAUGCAAUCAUCCAAGUUCUUUCAAAUCUGAAAGGCAUAUGAGCAAUUGUGUAACUAGUGUUAUUCUGCAAAGAAAUUAUUUUCAACAUCAGUAUUUCUUCCUACACUCGCUUCGUUGUGUUACUUAAAUUAAAAUACUCACUUUUACAAAUGCAAAGGUUAAUAUUUUGUAUUCGAUUAUACUUGUACAGGUCAGUUCAUUGUAUUAAAUCACUUACAUUCAUUUAGUAAUUCUUGCCAAAACAUUCUAACAUACGUAGUAUUGUUAGUUUAGUCAUAUUUUAUAUUGCAGAAUGGUUGAUAUUUUCUGCGAUUGUGAUUAUUGCUUUGCACAUGUUCAUUCAAUUUGUAUUCCACUUGCUAGUUUCACUGCAUUAAUACAUGUUCUGAGAAAGCCGUUUAAUUUAUUUGAAAACAUUUGAUAGGCGGCCAUCACUCUGUAUAGAAUUUGCUUAACAUAGACACAUACGUACCUGCACGUAUUGAAAUAACAGCAUCAGUUUUAUAAUUAUGCAAGAUAUCAGUAAUAUAUGUGCAAGAUUUAUUGAAAUAAACAUUUUGAAAUAUAUAUUGAAAU
rnacentral:lncRNA from 1 species